CUAGCCUAACUUUUUGUUUACAAAUGUGCAAAGAAGUUUUUUUUUUUUCUUCGCUUGUAGACUGUACUCUUAUUCUGAAGACUAGAUUUUGAAGAUUCUAUGGUGAUUUCAGUUUUGGAAAUCUUUUGGUGAAUGAAGGUUGUUAGAAUUUUAAAAAUUGCAUAAUUUUAGCCUUUAAUUUUUCGUUUCCUAGUGCUCUCUGAUACCGGAUUUGUAUAACUGGUUAGAGCUUUUGUGUCCUCUGAUCCUGUAUUUCUAAUAUGUAUUACUAAUAUGAUACUUGUGAACAAACUCAUGGCAAUUUACAGAUUUGACGGAAGUAAACUAUGUAGUGACUUCGAAACAAUUUGUAUAAUGUCGUUAUGCAAUACUUUCUACUUUCUAGACUAGCAAGUUUCAUAAACUGAGUGACGUUUAUCAAGUGUCAUAUUGAAUCAGAUAAUAAAUAUUUGAUAAGUUUGGUUCACGAAGAAGGGAAAGAUCGACAUGGCGUCAUACUUGGUGCGUCUUGACACUGAAGAGGUUAGUUACAGAUUUAUCAAUGCAUUUCUUCCUCAUGAGAAAUGCAAUGAUUUAGAUUUGUGACGACCAAAAAAAAUAUAUUCGCUUGGGCAUUGGUGUGAACGGAAUCCAACAGAAAAGGCUCUGAUUGGUGGAAUUGGUGGUCUCUCAACAAAACUAAAACCAAAAUUAUUUGCAUCUUUAUCCACUUCUUCACGGUUCACAUCUCUCGUCUUUAUCUGCUUAUUUUAUCUUGUUUCUUUUUCCUCGUUUUAAAACAAGUUUAGCAUGUUAUCA